rnacentral:rRNA from 1 species
AGCGUAGACGGAUGGACAAGUCUGAUGUGAAAGGCUGGGGCUCAACCCCGGGACUGCAUUGGAAACUGCCCGUCUUGAGUGCCGGAGAGGUAAGCGGAAUUCCUAGUGUAGCGGUGAAAUGCGUAGAUAUUAGGAGGAACACCAGUGGCGAAGGCGGCUUUCUGGACUGUAACUGACGCUGAGGCUCGAAAGCUAGGGUAGCGAACG